rnacentral:rRNA from 1 species
AAUUUUGGACAAUGGGGGAAACCCUGAUCCAGCCAUCCCGCGUGUAUGAUGAAUGACAUCGGGUUGUACAGUACUUUUGGCAGAGAAGAAAAGGUAUCUCCUAAUCCGAGAUACUGCUGUCGGUAUCUGCAGUAUAAGCACCGGCUAACUACGUUCCAGCAGCCCCGGUAAUACGUAGGGUGCAAGCGUUAAUAGGAAUUACUGGGCCUAAAGCGGGUGUAGGCAGAUCCGAAAAAAAGAUGUUAAAGCCCAGGGCUCAAACAUGGAACUGCAUUUUUAACUGGCGAACUAGAGUAUGUCAGAGGGGGGUAGAAUUCCACGUGUAGCAGUGAAAUGCGUAGAUAUGUGGAGGAAUACCGAUGGCGAAGGCAGCCCCCUGGGAUAAUACUGACGCUCAGACACGAAAGCGUGGGGAGCAAACA